rnacentral:rRNA from 1 species
GACGAACUGUCCUAACGUUGUUCGGAAUCAUUGGGCGUAAAGCGCGUGUAGGCGGCCCGGUAAGUCCGCUGUGAAAGUCGGGGGCUCAACCCUCGAAUGCCGGUGGAUACUGUCGGGCUAGAGUGCGGGAGAGGCGAGUGGAAUUCCUGGUGUAGCGGUGAAAUGCGCAGAUAUCAGGAGGAAUACCAAUUGCGAAGGCAGCUCGCUGGAACGUAACUGACGCUGAGACGCGAAAGCGUGGGGAGCAAACAGG